CAAAACUAUAAUAAUAAAAAAAAAACGAAUAAACCCUUUUUCCUGCAGAAAACACAGAAAAAAGGAGCCAGUUGAUCUUCUCAACAGCCCAUCUCUACAUUAAAAACGCAGAGUUUUACACCAGCAACUUCAAGAACCUGACCAGGAUCCUUUUCUAUUGCAAGUAUUCUAUCUUGUUCCUGAUAAAGAAAUCUUGCUGGAGCUAAUUUCGUUUUAAUUAAAUUUAGCGUGUAAUGGACAAUUACAAUGUUUUCACUUUUUGCCAGAAUUUAGAUGGGAUUACCUGUUGAUAAAAAAUGGACUAGAGGCGAAGAAUCUUGCAUUGGAUAUUGGAGGCAUGGGUAUCAAAGAUGGGUUUUCAAAUGGCACUAAUAGUAAUCAGGGAUUCGGUGGUAUUAUGUGGAGAGAUAAUUUUCCU